GAAUGCUGACAUAAGUAACGAUAAAGCGGGUGAAAAGCCCGCUCGCCGGAAGACCAAGGGUUCCUGUCCAACGUUAAUCGGGGCAGGGUGAGUCGACCCCUAAGGCGAGGCCGAAAGGCGUAGUCGAUGGGAAACGGGUUAAUAUUCCCGUACUUGGUGUUACUGCGAAGGGGGGACGGAGAAGGCUAUGUUGGCCGGGCGACGGUUGUCCCGGUUUAAGCGUGUAGGUGUGUGUUCCAGGUAAAUCCGGUUCACUUUAACACUGAGGCGUGACGACGAGGCACUACGGUGCUGAAGCAACAAAUGCCCUGCUUCCAGGAAAAGCCUCUAAGCAUCAGGUAACAUCAAAUCGUACCCCAAACCGACACAGGUGGUCAGGUAGAGAAUACCAAGGCGCUUGAGAGAACUCGGGUGAAGGAACUAGGCAAAAUGGUGCCGUAACUUCGGGAGAAGGCACGCUGACACGUAGGUGAAGUGAUUUACUCAUGGAGCUGAAGUCAGUCGAAGAUACCAGCUGGCUGCAACUGUUUAUUAAAAACACAGCACUGUGCAAACACGAAAGUGGACGUAUACGGUGUGACGCCUGCCCGGUGCCGGAAGGUUAAUUGAUGGGGUCAGCGCAAGCGAAGCUCCUGAUCGAAGCCCCGGUAAACGGCGGCCGUAACUAUAACGGUCCUAAGGUAGCGAAAUUCCUUGUCGGGUAAGUUCCGACCUGCACGAAUGGCGUAAUGAUGGCCAGGCUGUCUCCACCCGAGACUCAGUGAAAUUGAACUCGCUGUGAAGAUGCAGUGUACCCGCGGCAAGACGGAAAGACCCCGUGAACCUUUACUAUAGCUUGACACUGAACAUUGAGCCUUGAUGUGUAGGAUAGGUGGGAGGCUUUGAAGUGUGGACGCCAGUCUGCAUGGAGCCGACCUUGAAAUACCACCCUUUAAUGUUUGAUGUUCUAACGUGGACCCGUUACCCGGGUUGCGGACAGUGUCUGGUGGGUAGUUUGACUGGGGCGGUCUCCUCCUAAAGAGUAACGGAGGAGCACGAAGGUUGGCUAAUCCUGGUCGGACAUCAGGAGGUUAGUGCAAUGGCAUAAGCCAGCUUGACUGCGAGCGUGACGGCGCGAGCAGGUGCGAAAGCAGGUCAUAGUGAUCCGGUGGUUCUGAAUGGAAGGGCCAUCGCUCAACGGAUAAAAGGUACUCCGGGGAUAACAGGCUGAUACCGCCCAAGAGUUCAUAUCGACGGCGGUGUUUGGCACCUCGAUGUCGGCUCAUCACAUCCUGGGGCUGAAGUAGGUCCCAAGGGUAUGGCUGUUCGCCAUUUAAAGUGGUACGCGAGCUGGGUUUAGAACGUCGUGAGACAGUUCGGUCCCUAUCUGCCGUGGGCGCUGGAGAACUGAGGGGGGCUGCUCCUAGUACGAGAGGACCGGAGUGGACGCAUCACUGGUGUUCGGGUUGUCAUGCCAAUGGCACUGCCCGGUAGCUAAAUGCGGAAGAGAUAAGUGCUGAAAGCAUCUAAGCACGAAACUUGCCCCGAGAUGAGUUCUCCCUGAGACUUAAAGUCUCCUGAAGGAACG
rnacentral:rRNA from 1 species